rnacentral:other from 1 species
UAUGUUCUGCGGUGUUCGAUAGCGGCAAGUGUAUCUUGGGCCGAUAAGCAACUGCUUCGGAAACCAAUAUUAUCUGGGUGUGCAGGCUCGUUUGACGAGAAGCCCAAUAGCUAAUAGCGGUAUCCACUUGAAUCUAACUGGUUCAAGAACCCGUCCGUAACGGCACUGUGGAACCUUU